AGUGAACGCUGGCGGCGUGCCUAAUACAUGCAAGUCGAACGAACGAAUAAGAGCUUGCUCUUAUAAGUUAGUGGCGCACGGGUGAGUAAUAUAUAGCUAAUCUGCCUCUUAGUAGAGGAUAACAGUCGGAAACGAUUGCUAAUACUCUAUACUUCUGCUUUACAUAAGUAAAGUAGAGAAAGUUUUUCGCUAUGAGAUGAGGCUAUACUGUAUCAGCUAGUUGGUAAGGUAACGGCUUACCAAGGCUAUGACGCAUAACUGGUCUGAGAGGAUGAUCAGUCACAUUGGAACUGAGACACGGUCCAAACUCCUACGGGAGGCAGCAGUAGGGAAUAUUGCGCAAUGGGGGAAACCCUGACGCAGCAACGCCGCGUGGAGGAUGACACUUUUCGGAGCGUAAACUCCUUUUAUCGGGAAAGAAUAAUGACGGUACCCGAUGAAUAAGCACCGGCUAACUCCGUG
rnacentral:rRNA from 1 species